rnacentral:rRNA from 1 species
GACGGAGGGCGCAAGCGUUGUUCGGAAUUACUGGGCGUAAAGCGCGGGCAGGUGGUCUGUUAAGUCGUUUGUGAAAAUCCGGGGCUCAACCCCGUGAAAUGCGUACGAUACUGGCAGGCUGGAGAUCGGUAGAGGCUAGCGGAAUUCCUGGUGUAGCGGUGGAAUGCGUAGAUAUCAGGAAGAACACCUGUGGCGAAGGCGGCUAGCUGGGCCGAGUCUGACACUCAUCCGCGAAAGCGUGGGGAGCAAACAGG